rnacentral:rRNA from 1 species
AGAUUGAACGCUGGCGGCAGGCCUAACACAUGCAAGUCGAGCGGCAGCACGGGUACUUGUACCUGGUGGCGAGCGGCGGACGGGUGAGUAAUGCCUAGGAAUCUGCCUGGUAGUGGGGGAUAACGCUCGGAAACGGACGCUAAUACCGCAUACGUCCUACGGGAGAAAGCAGGGGACCUUCGGGCCUUGCGCUAUCAGAUGAGCCUAGGUCGGAUUAGCUAGUUGGUGGGGUAAUGGCUCACCAAGGCGACGAUCCGUAACUGGUCUGAGAGGAUGAUCAGUCACACUGGAACUGAGACACGGUCCAGACUCCUACGGGAGGCAGCAGUGGGAAUAUUGGACAAUGGGCGAAAGCCUGAUCCAGCCAUGCCGCGUGUGUGAAGAAGGUCUUCGGAUUGUAAAGCACUUUAAGUGGAGAAGGCAGUUACCUAAUCGUGUCUGUUUGACGUUACGACAGAAUAAGCACCGGCUAACUCUGUGCAGCACG